UUGAAAAACUGGUUCUCAUCUGAUCACCGAAGUUAAGCAAUGUCAAGUCUGGUCAGUACCUAAAUGGGUGAUCAGUUGGGAAUACCAGAUGCUGUAAG